rnacentral:rRNA from 1 species
GACGAACGCUGGCGGCGUGCCUAAUACAUGCAAGUAGAACGCACAGUUUAUACCGUAGCUUGCUACACCAUAAACUGUGAGUUGCGAACGGGUGAGUAACGCGUAGGUAACCUGCCUGGUAGCGGGGGAUAACUAUUGGAAACGAUAGCUAAUACCGCAUAAUAUUGAUUAUUGCAUGAUAAUUGAUUGAAAGAUGCUAUUGCAUCACUACCAGAUGGACCUGCGUUGUAUUAGCUGGUAGGUGAGGUAACGGCUCACCUAGGCGACGAUACAUAGCCGACCUGAGAGGGUGAUCGGCCACACUGGGACUGAGACACGGCCCAGACUCCUACGGGAGGCAGCAGUAGGGAAUCUUCGGCAAUGGACGAAAGUCUGACCGAGCAACGCCGCGUGAGUGAAGAAGGUUUUCGGAUCGUAAAGCUCUGUUGUAAGAGAAGAACGGGUGUGAGAGUGGAAAGUUCACACUGUGACGGUAUCUUACCAGAAAGGGACGGCUAACUACGUG